UGGGGAAUUUUGGACAAUGGGCGCAAGCCUGAUCCAGCCAUGCCGCGUGAGUGAAGAAGGCCUUCGGGUUGUAAAGCUCUUUCGGACGGGAAGAAAUGGCGGGCUCUAAUAUAGCCUGUCGAUGACGGUACCGUAAGAAGAAGCACCGGCUAACUACGUGCCAGCAGCCGCGGUAAUACGUAGGGUGCGAGCGUUAAUCGGAAUUACUGGGCGUAAAGCGUGCGCAGGCGGGUUUGUAAGACAGGUGUGAAAUCCCCGGGCUUAACCGGGGAACUGCGUUUGGGACUGCAAGGCUCGGGUACGGCAGCGGGGGGUGGAAUUCCACGUGUAGCAGUGAAAUGCGUAGAGAUGUGGAGGAACACCGAUGGCGAAGGCAGCCCGCCGGGCCUGUACUGGGGCUCAUGCACGAAAGCGUGGGGAGCAAACA
rnacentral:rRNA from 1 species